rnacentral:rRNA from 1 species
AUUGAACGCUGGCGGCAGGCUUAACACAUGCAAGUCGAGCGAGCGGCGGACGGGUGAGUAAUGUCUGGGAAACUGCCUGAUGGAGGGGGAUAACUACUGGAAACGGUAGCUAAUACCGCAUACCAUCAGAUGUGCCCAGAUGGGAUUAGCUAGUAGGUGGGGUAACGGCUCACCUAGGCGACGAUCCCUAGCUGGUCUGAGAGGAUGACCAGCCCAACUGGAACUGGGACACGGGCCCGACUCCUACGGGAGGGAGCAGUGGGGAAUAUUGCACAAUGGGCGGAAGCCUGAUGCAGCCAAGCCGGGGGUAUGAAGAAGGCCUUCGGGUUGUAAAGUACUUUCAGCGAGGAGGCGUUACUCGCAGAAGAAGCACCGGCUAACUCCGUGCCAGCAGCCGCGGUAAUAC